UACAGAGGGUGCGAGCGUUAUUCGGAAUUACUGGGCGUAAAGCGUGCGUAGGCGGUUAUAUAAGUCGGGUGUGAAAGCCCCGGGCUCAACCUGGGAAUUGCAUUCGAGACUGCAUAGCUAGGGUGCGGAAGAGGGAAGCGGAAUUUCCGGUGUAGCGGUGAAAUGCGUAGAUAUCGGAAGGAACAUCAGUGGCGAAAGCGGCUUCCUGGUCCAGCACCGACGUUCAGGCACGAAAGCGUGGGGAGCAAACAGG
rnacentral:rRNA from 1 species